rnacentral:rRNA from 1 species
CUACGGGGGGCUCCAGUGGGGAAUUUUGCGCAAUGGGCGAAAGCCUGACGCAGCAAUACCGCGUGAGUGAAGAAGGCCUUUGGGUCGUAAAGCUCUUUUAUUGGGGAAGAUAGUGACGGUACCCAAUGAAUAAGCACCGGCUAACUCCGUGCCAGCAGCCGCGGUAAUACGGAGGGUGCAAGCGUUGUUCGGAUUUACUGGGCGUAAAGGGCACGUAGGCGGCAUAGCAAGUUAAGGGUGAAAUCCCGGGGCUCAACUCCGGAACUGCUCUUAAAACUGCUAAGCUAGAGAUAGUCAGAGGCGGGUAGAAUCCCUGGUGUAGAGGUGAAAUUCGUAGAUAUCAGGAGGAAUACCGGAGGCGAAGGCGGCCCGCUGGGGCUAUUCUGACGCUAAGGUGCGAAAGCGUGGGGAGCGAACGGGAUUAGAUACCCCCGUAGUC